rnacentral:snoRNA from 1 species
UUUUAUGAUGACAAGUUGUCGCCCCAAACAGAUUAUCGUUAAAUUAUGAUCGAUUCGAUUCAAGCCAAACACUGAAAAUUCUGAUC